UGGGGAAUAUUGCACAAUGGGGGAAACCCUGAUGCAGCGACGCCGCGUGAACGAAGAAGGUAUUCGUAUCGUAAAGUUCUGUCCUAUGGGAAGAUAAUGACAGUACCAUAGAAGAAAGCUCCGGCUAAAUACGUGCCAGCAGCCGCGGUAAUACGUAUGGAGCGAGCGUUGUCCGGAAUUAUUGGGCGUAAAGGGUACGCAGGCGGUUUAAUAAGUCGAAUGUUAAAGAUCGGGGCUCAACCCCGUAAAGCAUUGGAAACUGAUAAACUUGAGUAGUGGAGAGGAAAGUGGACUUCCUGGUGUAGUAGUGAAAUACGUAGAUAUUAGGAGGAAUACCAGUAGCGAAGGCGACUUUCUGGACACAAACUGACGCUGAGGUACGAAAGCGUGGGGAGCAAACAGG
rnacentral:rRNA from 1 species